GAUCUAAGAUGCAAGGAAUGAAGGCCCUAUCUCUUGGGUGAUUAGCCUUUGUUUAAAUACAAAGAGGAAUCUUCAAAGGUAUAAAUUUCAACUCACUUUGUUUUGAGUUGAUUAAUGGUUCACCAAUCUACUAGGCUUUGAAUUUCUUGGUUAAUGUUUUGUUUUUAAGUGCAUGCUAGCAUGAUUCCGCAUUUAAUUGUUAAUUGCAUGCUUAUAGAUGUUGCUUAAAUGAACAUGUUUUCACAAAAUCAUCCUUCAAGUGGUAUCAGAGCCUAGGUCUAGUAGUUGGUGAAUCCUUUUGUGUUUUGUAGUUCAUAGUUUGUGAUUUAAAAGUUGUAAUUGUUACAAGCUUUAUUCUUGUUUCUUUGAAUGUAAAUUUUGUUAGAAAAUUUGUCAUCUCAAAUGUUGUAGAUGUAGUUCAUAUGAGCAUGAAUAUUGGAGCUAAAAUUUGGUGCCAUGACUUUGGGGAUUUUCGGCCAAAUCCAAAGGGUGGAUUUUUGGGUUCUUGUUUGACUUGUUAAAAGUGUUUUCAAGUGACUUUUGGAACCCCUAUGUACCCUAUUUUGGUUAGAUGUUAUUUCCCUAAAGUUUGAAUGGUUUUGGAAUGUUUUUGGGUGAAAAAUGUUCAUGGAAAUUUUUUGUGUUUUUCAUGAAUGUUCUUCAUUGUUCUUGACAUUUUUGCCAAGAACAAAAAGUUUGGUGUUUUGAUUCAAAGUUUUGAUUAAUUUCAUAAAGUCUUUGUUUUGUGUUGAUUGGUGUGAAAUAUCUAUCAUCAAAACAUUUAUAUUUUUUGAAAGGUGAUAGAAAUUGUGAUGGGUGUGUAAGACUUACACACCUUACAUAUGUCACAAACCACUUGCAUGUAUUUAUGUCACAAACCACUUGCAAGGCUUUAUGAAUUUGUUGAAAAAAUUUUCAAAAUUUUGUGGACUAACACUCCAAAACCGGCCACCCUAUUAUUAGGGUUCUUUUGGGUCUUUUAUGCAAUUACAUAAA
rnacentral:lncRNA from 1 species